rnacentral:rRNA from 1 species
AUUGAACGCUGGCGGCAUGCUUUACACAUGCAAGUCGAACGGUAACAGGCCGCAAGGUGCUGUCGAGUGGCGAACGGGUGAGUAAUGCAUCGGAACGUGCCCAGUCGUGGGGGAUAACUACUCGAAAGAGUAGCUAAUACCGCAUACGAUCUAUGGAUGAAAGCGGGGGACCGUAAGGCCUCGCGCGAUUGGAGCGGCCGAUGUCAGAUUAGGUAGUUGGUGGGGUAAAGGCUCACCAAGCCAACGAUCUGUAGCUGGUCUGAGAGGACAACCAGCCACACUGGGACUGAGACACGGCCCAGACUCCUACGGGAGGCAGCAGUGGGGAAUUUUGGACAAUGGGCGCAAGCCUGAUCCAGCAAUGCCGCGUGCAGGAAGAAGGCCUUCGGGUUGUAAACUGCUUUUGUACGGAACGAAACGGCUCUGGUUAAUACCCGGGGCUAAUGACGGUACCGUAAGAAUAAGCACUGGCUAACUACGUG